rnacentral:misc_RNA from 1 species
GGAGUAAAAGUCGUAACAAGGUUUCCGUAGGUGAACCUGCGGAAGGAUCAUUAUUGUAUAACCGAGGUGCGAGGGCUGUCGCUGACCCGAAAGGUCGUGCACGCCCGAGUGCCCUCACACACAUCCAUCUCACCCCUAUGUGCACCACCGCGUGGGUCCCCCUUUGGCUUGUUCGGAGGGGGGCUUACGCUUUCACACAAACUUUGUAUGCAGUGUAGAAUGUAUUUUUUGUUUUUGCGAUCACGCAAUCAAUACAACUUUCAACAACGGAUCUCUUGGCUCUC